GCACGCCACGUCUGAGAGCAAAGCCAACCUGCAGGAAAGGAGGGCUAAGGGACAGAGACAAAGGUGGAAACCAUUUCAUUGCUGCUGGGCUCCUGGGGCCUAGAUCAUUGUCUGGUAAGCUCUCAAUAAAUAGGCUUGGAAUAAAUGAACAGACAAUUGAAAAUGGACACAGUAAAAAGAACAAGAAGCUUGGCAUUCAAAUGACAUCAGGUUCAAAUCCUGGGUCUGUCAUAACUCUUUGGCCUUGGGGCAAAUUAUUUAACCAUUCUGAGCCCCAUUUCCUCAUCUGGUAAACAGAGAUAAAAAUAACCGCUACUUUGAAGACUUACUCUCAGGACCAAAUAGGAUCAUAGCUGUGACAAGUGUUUUGUGACCACAGACAGCUCCAGCUCUGUGCCGUUACUAGGAUCCUGGGCUGAUGAGAAACCAUCUCCAGCUAAGAGCUGGUUUCCAGAAAUCACCGGGCAUAAGGCCACCCUGAUGUCUCUGUUUUAGAUUGUGAUUGACCACUGAGUAGCUGCCCAAGUUGAGACGCUCUGCUCAGCCCCCAGCCUGACAGGACAAUUGGCCCACACUGCCCCGGAGGCUGCUGGGCAGGAGCUGGUAAUUGACAGAGAACUCAUUAUCGAAGGACAGAGCCUCUGAGCAUGCUGGGAAUUGGAACUGACAGAGCCCAAGGGCCUGGGAAUCGGAUCACUGGGAAGAGACAGCCCAAGUGUUGUGUGUCCUGGACGUACAGAGGAAAAUAAAGUUUCAGAAAUUGCUCGGCACUAAAAGAGAGCUCUGGUAUUGAAAGCCAUCUCUGAUCCGCUCUCCAUGUGGCUUUGGGCAUGCAAUUGACCUCUGUGAGCUUCAGUUUUGUCACCUCCAAAAUAGAGAUGACAAUAAAUCUUUUUCGUGGAGUAAGAAAUAAGGAUGCUGUAACUAUGACAUUGAUGAUCAUCAUUAUAACAACUAGCAGCUAUUUCACAUCCUCCAGAUGCCAGAGACCAUUUGAAGAGUGCUAAAAAUGGGCCAGGCACAGAGGCUCACACCCGUAAUCCCAGCGUUUUGGGAGGCCCAGGCAGGAGGGUCGCUUGAGCCCAGGAGUUUGAGAAUAGCCUGGGCAACAUAGUGAUAACCCUCCAUCACUACAAAAAAUCAGAAGGGUGUGGUGGUGCACACCUGUAGUCCCAGCUACAAGGGAGGCUGAAGUGGGAAGAUCGCUUGAGCCCAGGAGUUCAAGGUUGCAUGAAGGAGUUCAAGGUUGCCAUGAUCACACCACUGCACUCCCGCCUGGGCUACAAAGCAAGAUCCUCUCUCAUAUAAAAUAAAAUAAAAAUAAUAUUAAAAUGCAUUAACUGUGUGAUCC
rnacentral:lncRNA from 1 species